rnacentral:rRNA from 1 species
AUUGAACGCUGGCGGCAUGCUUUACACAUGCAAGUCGAACGGUAACAGGCCGCAAGGUGCUGACGAGUGGCGAACGGGUGAGUAAUGCAUCGGAACGUGCCCAGUCGUGGGGGAUAACGCAGCGAAAGCUGCGCUAAUACCGCAUACGAUCUAUGGAUGAAAGAGGGGGACCGUAAGGCCUCGCGCGAUUGGGGCGGCCGAUGUCAGAUUAGGUAGUUGGUGGGGUAAAGGCUCACCAAGCCAACGAUCUGUAGCUGGUCUGAGAGGACGACCAGCCACACUGGGACUGAGACACGGCCCAGACUCCUACGGGAGGCAGCAGUGGGGAAUUUUGGACAAUGGGCGCAAGCCUGAUCCAGCAAUGCCGCGUGCAGGAAGAAGGCCUUCGGGUUGUAAACUGCUAUUGUACGGAACGAAACGGUCUGGGUUAAUACCUCGGGCUAAUGACGGUACCGUAAGAAUAAGCACCGGCUAACUACGUGCCAGCCGCCGCCGUAAAAC